rnacentral:rRNA from 1 species
GAUGAACGCUAGCGGCAGGCCUAACACAUGCAAGUCGAGGGAGAGGUUACCUUCGGGUAACCAAAACCGGCGCACGGGUGCGUAACGCGUAUACAAUCUGCCUUUCACAUAGGGAUAGCCCGAAGAAAUUUGGAUUAAUACCUAAUGGUAUAUAAGAGCGGCAUCGUUUUUAUAUUAAAGCUACGGUGGUGAAAGAUGAGUAUGCGUUCUAUUAGCUAGUUGGAGAGGUAACGGCUCCCCAAGGCGACGAUAGAUAGGGGUUCUGAGAGGGAUGUCCCCCACACUGGUACUGAGAUACGGACCAGACUCCUACGGGAGGCAGCAGUGAGGAAUAUUGGACAAUGGUCGGAAGACUGAUCCAGCCAUGCCGCGUGCAGGAUGAAGGUCCUAUGGAUUGUAAACUGCUUUUGUAAGGGAAGAAUAAGGAGUACGUGUACUUUGAUGACGGUACCUUACGAAUAAGCAUCGGCUAACUCCGUGCCAGCAGCCGCGGUAAUACGGAGGAUGCGAGCGUUAUCCGGAAUCAUUGGGUUUAAAGGGUCCGUAGGCGGGCUGAUAAGUCAGAGGUGAAAGCGCUUAGCUCAACUAAGCAACUGCCUUUGAAACUGUCAGUCUUGAAUGAUUGUGAAGUAGUUGGAAUGCGUAGUGUAGCGGUGAAAUGCUUAGAUAUUACACAGAACACCGAUAGCGAAGGCAUAUUACUAACAAUUUAUUGACGCUGAUGGACGAAAGCGUGGGGAGCGAACAGG